GAAUAAAAAGAUAUAUAAAUAAAAAAGAAAACUACUGGGCAUACUAAAAGGGGCUUAUCGAGCAACCCAAAUAAACAGCAACAAAAGUCACAAUAAAUUAUAAUAAUGUAUAAGCUACACUUCAGGUUAUAAAUUGUUUAAGUUUAGGGCAGGAAUGUGAAACUUUGUCACCACCUAAGUGGCUAUUCCCAUUAAUCAAAAUUCAUCACACUAUCAGUAAAAAUAUUUUAAAAUGAUAACAUACCUUAUGGUACUCCAAAAUGAAUAAUUUGAAAAUGUUUUAAGUAGCCAACCAAGGGCAACCAUUCUGUCUGUCUAGUACAAAUUUAGAACUCGUUAUUUCUCCCACUUCCCAUUCUCAGAUCAAGACUUUGUACAAGUAUUCAUUGUCCCUAACAACACACGAAUCAACAAAAAAAAAAUUAAAAAGUUAAUUAAUGAAUUUGUUUACUGUAGAAUAGGAAAAUAAAUCUUACAGUAUUUAUAAAUAUGGCAAUAAAUGUACAGUUCUUUGCCUUAUAGAUUUAAAAAAAAACCAACUAUUUUCAA